UGCCUACGGGCGGCAGCAGUGGGGAAUUUUGGACAAUGGGGGCAACCCUGAUCCAGCCAUGCCGCGUGAGUGAAGAAGGCCUUCGGGUUGUAAAGCUCUUUCAGCCGGGAAGAAAUCGCAUAGGUUAAUACCCUGUGUGGAUGACGGUACCGGAAUAAGAAGCACCGGCUAACUACGUGCCAGCAGCCGCGGUAAUACGUAGGGUGCGAGCGUUAAUCGGAAUUACUGGGCGUGAAGCGUGCGCAGGCGGUUGUGUAAGACAGGCGUGAAAUCCCCGGGCUCAACCUGGGAACUGCGUUUGUGACUGCACAGCUAGAGUAUGGCAGAGGGGGGUGGAAUUCCACGUGUAGCAGUGAAAUGCGUAGAGAUGUGGAGGAACACCGAUGGCGAAGGCAGCCCCCUGGGCCAAUACUGACGCUCAUGCACGAAAGCGUGGGUAGCAAACAGGAUUAGAUACCCUAGUAGUCG
rnacentral:rRNA from 1 species